UUCCCAGACUCCUACGGGAGGCAGCAGUGGGGAAUAUUGCACAAUGGGGGAAACCCUGAUGCAGCAACGCCGCGUGAAGGAAGAAGGGUUUCGGCUCGUAAACUUCUAUCGAUAGGGACGAAAGAGAUGACGGUACCUAAAUAAGAAGCCCCGGCUAACUACGUGCCAGCAGCCGCGGUAAUACGUAGGGGGCAAGCGUUAUCCGGAAUUACUGGGUGUAAAGGGAGCGUAGGCGGCAAGGUAAGUAAGAUGUGAAAGCCCGCAGCUUAACUGCGAGGAUUGCAUUUUAAACUAUCUAGCUUGAGUACAGGAGAGGUAAGCGGAAUUCCUAGUGUAGCGGUGAAAUGCGUAGAUAUUAGGAAGAACACCAGUGGCGAAGGCGGCUUACUGGACUGUAACUGACGCUGAGGCUCGAAAGCGUGGGGAGCGAACAGGAUUAGAUACCCGAGUA
rnacentral:rRNA from 1 species